UUCUUCCCGCUGUGAUACUGCAGUCGAGCGAACGAGAAGGAGCUUGCUCCUUCGACGUUAGCGGCGGACGGGUGAGUAACACGUGGGCACCUACCUUAUAGUUUGGGAUAACUCCGGGAAACCGGGGCUAAUACCGAAUAAUCUGUUUCACCUCAUGGUGAAACACUGAAAGACGGUUUCGGCUGUCGCUAUAGGAUGGGCCCGCGGCGCAUUAGCUAGUUGGUGAGGUAACGGCUCACCAAGGCGACGAUGCGUAGCCGACCUGAGAGGGUGAUCGGCCACACUGGGACUGAGACACGGCCCAGACUCCUACGGGAGGCAGCAGUAGGGAAUCUUCCACAAUGGGCGAAAGCCUGAUGGAGCAACGCCGCGUGAGUGAAGAAGGAUUUCGGUUCGUAAAACUCUGUUGUAAGGGAAGAACAAGUACAGUAGUAACUGGCUGUACCUUGACGGUACCUUAUUAGAAAGCCACGGCUAACUACGUGCCAGCAGCCGCGGUAAUACGUAGGUGGCAAGCGUUGUCCGGAAUUAUUGGGCGUAAAGCGCGCGCAGGUGGUUUCUUAAGUCUGAUGUGAAAGCCCACGGCUCAACCGUGGAGGGUCAUUGGAAACUGGGAGACUUGAGUGCAGAAGAGGAUAGUGGAAUUCCAAGUGUAGCGGUGAAAUGCGUAGAGAUUUGGAGGAACACCAGUGGCGAAGGCGACUAUCUCGUCUGUAACUGACACUGAGGCGCGAAAGCAUGGGGAGCAAACAGGAUCAGAUACCCUGCUAGUCCACGCCUGUAAACGAUGAGUGCUAAGUGUUGAAGGUGGCUUUCCGCCCCUCAGUGCUGCAGCUUACCGCAUUAAGCACUACGCCUCGCGAGUGACGACGCAGACUGCAAACUCAAAGUAUUAACCGCGCCCGCACAAUUCAGUGCACAAAGUGCUCAAUACGAUGCAGCGACGAACUUAACCAGCCUGCAUUCAGUUGAACACUGCUUAGCAUAAGU
rnacentral:rRNA from 1 species